UGCCAUCGCAAAAGGUGUUCCUCUCUCU
rnacentral:piRNA from 1 species